UAGGGUUUGAUUAUGGCUCAGGACGAACGCUGGCGGCGGGCCUAAUACAUGCAAGUCGAACGCACUCGACCUUCGGGUCACAUGAGUGAGUGGCGAACGGGUGAGUAACACGUGAGGAACCUGCCCUGAAGACCGGAAUAACCCGAGGAAACUCGAGCUAAUACCGGAUAUCCCCAUCUGGUCGCAUGGCCUAAUGAGGAAAUGUUCAGGCGCUUCAGGAGGGUCUCACGGCCUAUCAGCUAGUUGGUGAGGUAACGGCUCACCAAGGCAUCGACGGGUAGCUGGUCUGAGAGGACGAUCAGCCACACUGGGACUGAGACACGGCCCAGACUCCUACGGGAGGCAGCAGUAGGGAAUCUUGCGCAAUGGGCGAAAGCCUGACGCAGCCACGCCGCGUGAGGGAUGAAGGCUCUCGGGUUGUAAACCUCUUUCAGCAGGGACGAAAAUGACGGUACCUGCAGAAGAAGCUCCGGCCAACUACGUGCCAGCCGCCGCGGUAAUUCA
rnacentral:rRNA from 1 species